UCUCCUCCUUGGCACGAUUCUUCUUCUCCUUCAGCCUCUUCGAUCUCAUUCCUAUCUCUCAUCUUCUCUAAUCACGCAUUUUCUCCUUCUUCCCCUCUCCCUUCUUCACGCAAACACCCUUAACAUUUGGUCCUUUGGUUCUCAAUUUUUUUCCCCACUCGCCAGAGCAAAAAUGCUAUCUGGGUUUUCAUAGGAACCGAUCGAAAUGUACUCUGCCAUUCCGGCACUGCCGAUGGACGACGGUGGGGGUAAGUUUCAGGGUUCUUUAGAUGGAACGAAUCUACUCGAUGAUGCUUGUUUGGUUCUCACGUCGGAUCUGAAGUCGCACCUCCAUUGGAUGGUGGAGCUUCAUGAACGAUACGUUGAUGCUGUCACUCAACUUGACGGCCCAGACAUUGCUUGUGAAACCAACUCGGGUUGUUAUCACGCUGUACAAAGCUUCAAAAGGAAACUGGUUAUAUUUGAAUUUGAAGGAGGACAAGGUCUGUGAGUAAAGAGAUGGUGAUUUGACGAUUUAGUUAAUGUAUUUAAUCAACUAAAUUUGUUGUUAAUUUACAUCUUGCAGCUCUUAGCCCUUCAAGGAGGCAAUUUUCCAAAAUUUUGUUUAUUGUAUAGGAAUAGAAGCAUGAUUCGUUAAAUGUCAAAAUGCUGCACCAUGCCAGCUGAAUUUGAGCAUCAUUUUACAGACACGAUCUAGGGGAGAAAGAUAAAACUACAAGUGAAAUUCAAAUGGCUCACAAUUUUUCAUUACCACCAUUAAGUCCAACUGAGUUCUUAUGUUAUAUGCUUUGAGAUCCAGAUGCUUGGUCAAUGCUAAAUCGUCCUAGAUGAUGCAAAAUAACUGUCACGAGUUCUUAUGUUAUAUGCUUUGACAUUUACACUUGAUUUGAGGAAGCGGAGAUCGUGAUAUUCUUGAAGUUGGAGUCUUGGAAAAAAGUUUGUAUCUUCAAAUGAGCUUCAAUCUUCGAGGUCGGGAGUCUUCUAGCUUUUGGGAGAAUUCUCUCUAGGCUUUUUGGAGUCGAAAAUUUUCCAACCUUUACAAAUGAAUAGAACUCCUCUAUUUAUAAAGUUCUUUGGUGGGCCUUUAUGGACUUGGCCUAGUUGGUCCAUGAACCAGAUCCAUGGACUCAACCAUAUGGGUUUGGGUCAUAUUUAAUCUUUAUGCUAAAUUAAACUUAUUUUUGGACUCAAUUAAAUUUUAGUCGAAUUAAAUAAUAUUUAAAUAAUAUUUAAUUGAACCCAAAAUUAUUAAUUUGA